UGCCCAGCAACUUCUAUCCCUACCUCCUCGUGGGACAGGCCGGGGUACGAGCAAUCUUAGGAAAGAUCGGAUAACCAAUUCCGGUGAGAACACUGGUCGUAUGCUGACAGGGAAUG
rnacentral:ribozyme from 1 species